GAGUUUGAUCCUGGCUCAGGAUGAACGCUAGCGGCAGGCCUAAUACAUGCAAGUCGAACGGUAAGGUCUCUUCGGAGAUACACGAGCGAGUGGCGCACGGGUGAGUAACGCGUAUGCAACCUACCUUUAACUGGAGGAUAGCCCCGAGAAAUCGGGAUUAAUACUUCAUAAUAAUAUAAAACGACAUCGUUUAAUAUUUAAAGCUCCGGCGGUUAAAGAUGGGCAUGCUUGACAUUAGAUAGUUGGUGAGGUAACGGCUCCCCAAGGCAGCGAUGUCUAGGGGUUCUGAGAGGAUUAUCCCCCACACUGGUACUGAGACACGGACCAGACUCCUACGGGAGGCAGCAGUAAGGAAUAUUGGUCAAUGGACGCAAGUCUGAACCAGCCAUGUCGCGUGAAGGAAGACGGCCCUACGGGUUGUAAACUUCUUUUAUAUGGGAAGAAACCCCUGGUCGUGAACCGGAUUCGACGGUACCAUAUGAAUAAGCACCGGCUAACUCCGUGCCAGCAGCCGCGGUAAUACGGAGGGUGCAAGCGUUAUCCGGAUUCAUUGGGUUUAAAGGGUGCGCAGGCGGGCUAAUAAGUCAGUGGUGAAAUCUCUCGGCUCAACCGAGAAACUGCCAUUGAAACUGUUAGUCUUGAGUACAGUUGUAGUGGGCGGAAUAUAGCAUGUAGCGGGGAAAUGCUUAGAUAUGCUAUAGAACACCGAUCGCGAAGGCAGCUCACUAAGCUGUAACUGACUCUCAGGCACACGAAAGCGUGGGGAGCAAACAGGAUUAGAUACCCUGGUAGUCCACGCCGUAAACGAUGAUUACUCUAUUUUGGCAAUAUACCGUCAGCGUCCAAGCGAAAGCGUUAAGUAAUCCACCUGGGGAGUACGAUCGCAAGAUUGAAACUCAAAGGAAUUGACGGGGGCCCGCACAAGCGGAGGAGCAUGUGGUUUAAUUCGAUGAUACGCGAGGAACCUUACCUGGGCUCAAACGUAGAGUGACCAUCUGUGAACGCAGAUUUUCCUUCGGGACAGUCUACGAGGUGCUGCAUGGUUGUCGUCAGCUCGUGCCGUGAGGUGUCGGGUUAAGUCCCAUAACGAGCGCAACCCCUAUCUUUAGUUGCCAUCAGGUCAUGCUGGGGACUCUAAAGAAACUGCCUACGCAAGUAGUGAGGAAGGUGGGGAUUACGUCAAAUCAGCACGGCCCUUAUGUCCAGGGCUACACACGUGUUACAAUGGUCGGUACAAAGGGCAGCUACCUGGUGACAGGAUGCUAAUCUCAAAAACCGAUCUCAGUUCGGAUCGAAGUCUGCAACUCGACUUCGUGAAGUUGGAUUCGCUAGUAAUCGUAUAUCAGCAACGAUACGGUGAAUACGUUCCCGGGCCUUGUACACACCGCCCGUCAAGCCAUGGAAGCUGGGGGUACCUGAAGUCCGUAACCGCAAGGAUCGGCCUAGGGUAAAACUAGUGACUGGGGCUAAGUCGUAACAAGGUAGCCG
rnacentral:rRNA from 1 species